CCGGCGGCAGUGGAGCUGUCGGAGUCGCGGCCGGUGACAGUGGAGAAGGAGUUUCUAUCGGAGCCGCAGCCGGCGGCAGUGGAGGCAGGUGCGACGGAGCGGCAGGUCACGGGGAAACGGAGCUAGGCAGUCGGUCGAAUUCGGCAAGGUCGCAGCAGCUUGUUUUGCUCUUCCUCGUCGUUACCUUGGGCCUUAGAGACAUUCGUCAGUGUUCUACGGAUUAACAAAUCAGUUUGCUGCUUGCUGCUACCUUGGCUCUCCUGCUAAAGUUCAGAUUAUUUAGCAAUCUGUCCUUUUUUGGGUCCAUUUGCACUCAGUCUCGUGUUGCUUCCCUAUGUACAAUUAGAUGUUUUCCUAUGUACUCGUAUCGUCUAUGAUUAUUGAACUUGGCAAUGGCUGUGUUAGCUAUCUUCCUUUUGUACUUGUGUAUGAGAUGACUGUGAAAACAAAGGAGAUUAUAUGAAAGACGUCAUAACUAUAUUUAACUUAAUUAUUAUACUGAUGGUAAAAAAAUAUUAUAAUCAUGUUGUUC
rnacentral:lncRNA from 1 species